rnacentral:rRNA from 1 species
AGCAGUAGCCGCGGGAAUACGUAGGGUGCGAGCGUUAAUCGGAAUUACUGGGCGUAAAGCGUGCGCAGGCGGUUAUGUAAGACAGUUGUGAAAUCCCCGGGCUCAACCUGGGAACUGCAUCUGUGACUGCAUAGCUAGAGUACGGUAGAGGGGGAUGGAAUUCCGCGUGUAGCAGUGAAAUGCGUAGAUAUGCGGAGGAACACCGAUGGCGAAGGCAAUCCCCUGGACCUGUACUGACGCUCAUGCACGAAAGCGUGGGGAGCAAACAGGAUUAGAUACCCCUGUAGUCCCUGUCUCUUAUAC